GUUCCGUACAUCUUGCCUUCUUGGACCGUCAAUGUUGUAUACUUAUUGACGAAGAUAACAUCUAGCUAUCGGACAUGCUGUAAUCUGACAUACUACUUCAUCAUACUCAACUAGUGGUUACUUACAUCGUGCCUUCUUCGAGCGUCAAUGGUGUAUACUUCUUGGUGAAAACAACUUAAGCGGUUCCUUAACUAUGUGAUUGCAAGGAGCUGGGUUAUGAAAUAAUUUCAGUGCAUUCUUAAAUUCUUGUUCAGGUGGAGAUAACCCCUUUUACGGAAACACACGAACUGUACCGAGAGUGUUAAGACUACACGUCCGGUAACCGCACUAAACACCAUAUAUUUCUAUUUGAAUCCAAGUAAAAUGAGUAUAUUUUUCGAGACUCUACCUUUAAUCGGAUAUAUAAAUAGCGCGCUAUAAAUAGCCUACAGAACAGAAUUAUGUCAUCAUCUGAGUACUAGUCAAAAUAAUUACACGUUCAUACAUGUAUAUUGUUUUAUAUUUGUGACGCUGACGGGCAAUCUAAAUUGGGAUAUUGCCCAUAUGAAAAAUAUCACAGUAUUUCCUAGGAUCGCGUCAAAUUAGUUGGACCUCCGUUGCUUAUUCAAAGGAGACAUGAUAUUGAACAUUUUGAGAAAUAGCACUGUGGUCAGCAUUUGUCUCACGUGAACUGUGGAGACAUUUGGAUAUUGUACCUGAAAGUUCAUCACAAAGUGCUGGUGUUUUGAUAUCUACAAGAGCAGACGGCAACAGAAUUGGAGGUUACCCAAAUCUAAAGAUGUUGAGGAGUACAAGAAACAACAAAAAAAGCUAUGAAAAACAAAUGAAAUAAAAACAACGUGAAAUUAUAUUGAAUCAUGGCCCUGGGUUCCAGACCGUUCGACAACAACGAAAAAAAAAGGAUUUUUUAGCUCACCAGAGCACAAAGUGCUUAAGGUGAGCUAUUGUGAAUGACCGGCGUCCGUCGGCGUGCGUCUUGCGUAAACAUUUGCCUUGUGAACACUCUAGAGGCCACG
rnacentral:lncRNA from 1 species